GGGUGCUCGGAGCUGGGCGCCGUUCCCGCGGCGGCUCUGUGGCGCCUGGCGCCGACCCUCGGCGGGGUGCUGCGGCCUCAGUCUCCGCGAAGCGAAACACGGAGCGGGAGCUGCCCUUGGGCUGGGCUUGCGCGGCGCCUCAGGCCCGGGGCGCCCUCGGACGUGCCCCGUUUCUCCGCUUGAGCGCUAUUAAAAGGCGCCGGCCGACCCGGACAGUCACUCUGUGCCCCGCGGAGCAGAGUGCUUGGUGCGCGGGUCCGAGGCGAACCCGAGCUCUGACCGGGCGUGGGAGGCGCGGCCUGCUUGUGGCGGCUGCAGGGCGCCCUCAGGCGUAGUGACCUCGGGAGUGAGAAAGAGAAAGUGGGUUUUUUCGGAUCCCCGUAAACGGCGCAUUUGUAAGGGACAGCAGCAUGUUAAAAGAAGCCUCGCCGGUGUUUACGAGGCAAACUCCACUGAAUCAUCCUUGUUCACGUGCCGUUUUCCUGUGACUCUUCCGACCUCCCCCGACCCCUAAAGCGAAAUGAAUCUGGGUUCCGUAUCUUUGGAGCUCGUUACACUUCCUAGCCGCGGCUGCGAGCGGGGAGCCGGAAGCAGCUGGGGUGCACCUGGCCUGUGCACGGAGCAGGCUGGAAGUGCCAGAGAGGUAACAACCACAGGAACACGGUGAUCCGUGAGUCAUCUCUCCAGGUCCCUGCCAGUCAAGGCACCCUGAGGGUCACCACGCCAGCUUUGCUUCCCAAACACUCUACCGUUCUUACAGUUAGAUCCUGGGCCUGAGGUUGAGCAAAGUCUGUCCUACAACUGCUUCUUAAAAGCUGCCAAAGGAGCCCUGCGGCUUUCACAAUGUCACUGGAACUGGCAGUUGGCUACUCUAAGCCUAUUGUCUUCUUUUUUCAACCAGAAGCUGGACUACUCCACAGUGCUUAAUACUGGCAUUGCCUCCUGUCUUAGUCUGUUUGGGCUGCUAUCAUAAAAUGGCAUAGACUGGGUGGCUUAUAAACAGUGGAAAUUUGUUCCUCACAGUUCUGGAGGCUUAGGAGUCCAAUAUCAGGGUGCCAGCAGAUUCAGUGUCUGGGUUGCCACCUAGUUCAUAGGUGGCACCUUCUCACCGUGAGAUCACAUGAUAGAAGAGAGGAGGGUCUCUCCAGGGCCUCCUUUAUAAGGGCACUAGUCCCAUUCCUGAGGGCAGAGCCCUCAUGACCUAGUCACCUCCCACAGGCCCUCUCCCCUGAUACCAUCAUCUUGGGCAUCUGGAUUUCUACAUACUAAUUUGGGGGAAGUGAGCUCAAACAUUCAGACCAUAGAGCCUCCAUAAAACGUAAGUGCCACAGCUGCUCCUGUCCCCACACAGCAUCUCAGUUAAUCACAGUGAGCCUGAUUAAUUGUGAUGCUGCUGCUUGCAAGAGGUUAUUUGUUCCUCCACUCAGCACCUGCAGUAGUGUUCUUCUUGUGGCCAUGCUGAUUGCUAUGGUCUAAAUGUCUGUGUCGCCCCAAAAUUCAUGAAUCCCUCCUGAAGUGGGAUUAAUACCCAUAUAAAAGAGGCCUAAGAGAGUCCCCUUGCUACUCCCACCAUGAAAGGACACAGCUACAAGGCACUAUCUAUGAACCAGAAAGUAGACCCUCUCCAGACACCAAAUCUGCUGGUGCCUCCAUCUCAGACUUCCCAGCCUCCGGAACCCAGUUUUUGGUAUUCAGUUAUAGCAGCCCGAAUGCACUGAGACCCUGGUGAAUGAUUUAACUUCCAAAUCCCAAUCCUCUUUAAGGGCCUCCUGGUGGUUAGCCUCAGCUCCCUAGAAAGCGAAGCCAGAGGGCUCACGGCAGAGCUGUGUUAAGGAGCACAGUGCCAGGGGGUGGGAAGGAGAGUUGGGGAGCAAAGGAGAGAAGGAGGGAGAGCCAGUGCAAGGCUAUGUAAUUGAGCUGGCUGCCACUAAGUGUGCAGAAUGUCGGGAUCUGUGGGUCCAUGCCCCAAGAACCUGUGUAAACUGGGAAGUGUUUAUCUGCCAGCUACCAUCUCCCAUUGAUCAACGAUUUACCUCACUAGACGUUAACCCUCCGGCACUUCAGGGCUGCACAUACAUCCUUCAUGUCAUUAUUGGUGUGGAAUCCCAGAGCAGGAGAGACAUGCACAGUAGGGGCAGGAGGUGAAGUGCAGUCCAGUCACCUCCCUGACUGCACGAAGCAAUCCAGAGCCCAUGCAGAGCUGGAUUCAGAGCCAGAUGAGACCGUGAGAUGAGAGGGUUUGGAACAGUCGGCAAACACCACCUGCUCCACCUCUUAGAGCCCAAAGGGUUCAUUGCCGUAUCUUAGAUGUGCUGCUGGGAGCGAGAGCUGUAAAGACACUGAAUAAAUGUAAUGACUUCGUG